rnacentral:tRNA from 1 species
ACCUGGGUGGCUCAGUCAGUCGAGCAUCUGACUUCGGCUCAGAUUGUGAUCUUGCAGUCUGUGAGUUCCAGCCCCACAUCAGGCU